UCCAACCUCCCUAGCUGCAGGCAGAUGUGAUUUUGAACUCUCUCUCUCCCCCUCUUUCUUUACUUUCCCCUCCUCUCUCCUGUACAGAGAGGGAUUUCUUUUUCUACUUCUCUCCCUCGAUUCCAAGACUCAAGAAGUCUUUUUCUACCUUGGGAGUAAUCCAAGCAUGAGAUGAUGAGAGCCCACACCAGAGUGGCAGCUGUGUCCAAGAAGAGAAAGGAAUGUGAAUACAAGAGAUGUUUCACAGGUAGAAUCUACAGGACUUUGUGAGCCAAGCCAAGAUGUUCAAGUUUGAUUCCUGUUCAGUAGAAGCCUUGGAAAUACAGGGAAGCACCUUCAAGCAGAACAGAAGCAAGAUUAGGAACUCAUGCUGGAAUCUAGUCUCUGGGCCUUCAGGACCUCUGUUCUUGAAGAGCAGUUAAGGGUUUGAGGAGAAUCAAGAAGAACAAAGGAGGAAGAAGCUCCACGAUGUUCUAGAAGUAAUGGAGGAGAACAGCUUGGCAAAAUUUAUGAGCUGUCUUCUGUGGAGAGCAGAGACCCAGAGGGUCUGGGUUUGAAUCCUGACUCUCCUAGUCACACCAGAUUGUGUGACCCUGGGCAAGUCACUUCCCUUCUAGAGGAUUUCCACUUCCCCACGUGGCAAAUGAAGAAGUUGCACAAGCCGAUCUUGAAGGGUUCCUUUUCUCUCUAAACACUGUAGAUCCCAUGAAUGCUUUGGAAGCCUUACCUUCAAACCUGAUCUCUUCAUCCUGGGACAUCUCUUGCUAAUUGUUUAUGUCAGUGUUAGCCCUGAAUGGUUAUUUGUGAUGUGUGGAAGAGCGAGGACAAGGAGUCUGGGUCAUUUUGAGCAGUUAUUAUUGUUCUAUUUGGUAUUGUAAGUGGUCAUUCCAUGAUUUGCUUCAUUACAGACAGUGCAUUUA